rnacentral:lncRNA from 1 species
AAUUAUAUUUAAUUACAAGUGUGCCCCUGGUAGUCUUUAACUGAAGGGCACUGACUGGGUCACUGGUGAAGUUCCCCGCAGGAACUGAGUCAGACCCCAUCUCAGGGCCCUGCACAAGAUAGGUGCCUGCUCUAAGGCGUGGACCCUCGCCACAGCCCUGGCCCGUCUUGACGGGCGAGGGUUACUGUACUUGUCCCAACCGUACAGAUGAGAAAGCUGAGACUCAGGGCCAGCAACCCGGGUCCCAGCGGAGCGCCCGGCACACGCCGACACUUCAGCACCAGUGGCGGUGGCCACCACUGUGGGCGGAGAUGGCUGCGACGCGUGCGCAGGUAAAGUCUAUGCGCGCCUUGCCUCCCACCGGCGCCUUCCCCGGCCUCUGGUUUUUGUCCCCGCCAGCGGCUCCGACUCCAUCGCGUCCUCUUCCAGUCUAGUGCUUUUUUCCAGAUCUCGAUCCCAAACUCCCUCCUGCCAGAAUCUGGACCCGAAUCCACCCAUUGCCCGUUUUCCGCUGCCGCUGGAGAGAAUCUCUGAGGUCCCCAGGAGAGCCUGCCUGCACGGAAGAGACGCCUCCUCGGUAUGGCCGCCCCCGGAGAGGAGCGAUUAAGUGCAGACCUCCUUGUUGCUCUUGAGCCUGAGCGGCUUCAGGGAGCCAUGUUUGUUACUGGCGGGCGCCGACCUCACUGAGCAUGUGCAGCCCUGGCCGGGCGGCCUCAAAGUUCUGACAUCACAGGGCGGUUCCUGAAGUGGACGUAGUUGUAAGAGCUAGUUAUUUUAGACAAUGCCUCUGGGAUCAGGGACUCUAAUCUGGAAAUAGGUAGUCGGAGAGGUCGGUGAUGCAGUCUCUGGAUCAGAGACCUGAGCUAUAUGGGGUUAGAGAGGGGCCCUGGGCAGGCGAGUCUCUGGGGAGUGUGGUGAGAAUCCUUGUGUAAGAUGCUGGGAGGAGGUGGGGUCAGGGCUGGGGUCCGUGGGCCGACGGGUUGGGGGAUGGCCAGCGUCAGGGAUCAGUAGUAGAGAUUCUAUGUGCCCUGAUCGCCAGUGGAGGUUUUAAAUACAGAGUAUUCAUGAGUUUAGCAAUGUUUUUCGCCUCUCAUUAUUUAAAUAAUUUGAAGUUUUCCCCAAUAACUAGUGUCUUAGAAGUCAUGAAAAUUUCAGAAAAUGACAGGUCUUCUGAGUUCGUGAUGGGAGUUGGGCAGCAGUCGCAUACGAGCACCUGGAGAGUCCUUGCCAGUUCUUUGGGGAUGGGGAGCUCUUAAGACUGCCCUGAGACCGCCCUUUGACCUCAUUGUGGUCCUUUCUAGAUUAAAUGCUGUUUUCCAUGACCGUCUCUGUUCUUCCCAUACGGGAAUGGCAGGCAUUCAGAUCUCCAAGAAUAGAGGAUUAGGAGAGACUCCACCACCUAUGUCCUCACAGUUAAUUAUCGAUUUGUGUCAGUUGCCCAUUUUCUCACUUCCUGUUUGUGUGUCAAGGGGUAUUAAUAAAUCUUUGCCUAUUUAAAGAUAUUAGCCUUGGAUUUUCAAAUAUUGCAUAUUUUGACAUGUAAAAAUUUGUUAGUUUUAUUUUUUCAACCGAUCUGACCUGUAUAGUUGGGCUUGAGGAAGCUUCCUCAUUCUACAUGUUACUAUGGAUUUUCUAAUAUUAACACAGGGUUGUAUUUUUUCCAUAUAACUUUCUAUUGAAUUUCUUUUUCCAUAUGAUAGGUGGUGAAGGUUUAGCCCAGUAAAGCAGAGAGGUUAAGAGGUUAGAUUGGGGGCUCUGGAGCCAGACCUGUGUAGAUCUGAGUCGUGGCUCUGGCACUUGAAAGCCGUGUGACCUUGGUUAAGAUACUUAGUCCCUCUCUGCCAAAUGGAGAAAUAAGGGCACCUACCCCAUAGGGUAGUUGUGUGAUUACACAAGUUAAUACACUUCAAUCAGUAGCAAGAAAGUGAAUGUCAAGCUGUAUUUGUUCAGGCAGCCAUAUGGUAGCCCCACGUCCUUAGUAAACUGAGGUAUUGAAGUAUCUUCUUUUUCUUUCAGAAAAUAUUUGUCAAGCACCUUCUGUGUUCAAAGAACUGUUCUAGAGCUUUGCAUGCUAUGGAGGUCUAGAAAUUCACAUUAUGGUGGCAGGUGACAGACAAUACAAAGAGAUAAAGCAAUUUCAUAUAGUGAUAAGCUAGGGAGGAGUGCUAAAAGGAGCCAAGGUGUAGUGGUGACUGGAAGGUGACCAGGGAAACCACUGUAGGGUUUCUAAGUGAUGAGAUCUGUGACAAAUCCCUGUGGUCAGCAGCAGGCAUUGGAUAUGUAACUUUAUUCUGUCCCAUUGAUCUUGUAGUCAACCCUGGUCUGUUCUGUAUUGUUUUAAUUACAUAAUCUUUGUAAUAAUCUUUAAUACCUGGUGGAGUGCUCUGUUUACUUAUUUCUGCGUAAUUAACCACCCCUAAGCUUAACUUACUCAUGGUUCUGCAGGGUGACUGCUCUCCAUGUUUCUAGGUGGUUCUGCAUGGGGCCUCUCACAUGUGCUACAGUCAAACAUUAGCCGGGGCCACAGUCAUCUGAAACUCACUUACAUGGCUGACAAUAGAUGUUGGCUGUUGCCUGGAGAAGACAUAUGUGGCGUGGUGGAAUGGAAUGGUGACUAGAUUCAAGAAAGAGCUUCCCAGGAGGAAGGCUACCAAGAGACCGAAGUAGAGGCUUCAGUUUCUUAAAAAAAAAAAAAAAAAA